GUCUACGGCCAUACCACCCUGAACGCGCCCGAUCUCGUCUGAUCUCAGAAGCUAAGCAGGGUCGGGCCUGGUUAGUACUUGGAUGGGAGGAAACAAACUGAGGUUUGCUGGAGGGAAGAUGGGGUGACUGGGUGAU
rfam:Mustela putorius furo unplaced genomic scaffold scaffold00116, whole genome shotgun sequence.